rnacentral:rRNA from 1 species
CAUAAGGUGCUUGCACUUUGAUGACGACCGGCGCACGGGUGAGUAACGCGUAUACAAUCUGCCUCAUACUAGGGAAUAGCCCAGAGAAAUUUGGAUUAAUGCCCUAUAGUAUCAUUAAGAGUCAUCUCUUUUUGAUUAAAGGUUACGGUAUGAGAUGAGUAUGCGUUCUAUUAGUUAGUAGGUGAGGUAACGGCUCACCUAGACCGCGAUAGAUAGGGGCCCUGAGAGGGGGAUCCCCCACACUGGUACUGAGACACGGACCAGACUCCUACGGGAGGCAGCAGUGAGGAAUAUUAGACAAUGGGCGAAAGCCUGAUCUAGCCAUGCCGCGUGCAGGAUGACGGCCCUAUGGGUUGUAAACUGCUUUUAUACAGGAAGAAAAAACUCUACGUGUAGAGUCUUGACGGUACUGUAAGAAUAAGGAUCGGCUAACUCCGUGCCAGCAGCCGCGGUAAUACGGAGGAUCCAAGCGUUAUCCGGAAUUAUUGGGUUUAAAGGGUCCGUAGGUGGACAAUUAAGUCAGAGGUGAAAUCCUGCAGCUCAACUGUAGAAUUGCCUUUGAAACUGGUUGUCUUGAGUCAUUAUGAA